rnacentral:ncRNA from 11 species
GCCCUGUGGUUACUGGACGCUGUUCUCUCAGUACGGUGCUUCAGUUAGUAGAAAUGGGCCAAAAGUAAUGCUUUGACUUACGCAUGGAGUCUGACUUGUUAGCAGCCUCCAUAGCCCGGUCAUUGUGACACUU